AUACAAUCACCAUUAAAAAGUGAUAUAUUAUAUGAAAAUGAUCCAAUUAUACAUAUAAUAAAUGAUCAUAAUUAUUCCGCGACAUAUGAAACAUUAAAAAGAAAAAUUAUUUACCAAGAGGCUAUUAUUAAACGCUUAAAAAAAGGGCACAUGCUUAUUAUAGGAGCUCAAAAAGAGGAAAAAAUAAAAUAAUCAAUUUACAAACAAUAAUCACUUCACUAAAAGAUGAAAAUUUGUUAUCAGAUGAUGUCGAAAAUAUUAUAGACAGGCAAUUUACAGGGACAUCUUCUAUAUUCCUUAAAACACAUAUACACAGUGGAGGCAUCUCAAACCCACAAAAAAAUAUAUACAAGUGAAUUCCGUCAAUUUGCAUUGACUAUGCAUUUUUAUUCACCUAAGGCUUACAGAUAUCUCAAAUCACACUUUUGUAUGCCUCCGGAAUCCACAUUAAGGGCAUGGAGUGGCAAGAUUGAAAUCAUGCCAGGUUUCCUUUCUAUUUCAUUUACUUAAAUUAAAAGCUACCAAAAAAAAUCAGAAAAGCAGUUGUAUUGUGUACUUAGCCUUGAUGAAAUGCAUAUUAAAACUCAAAUAGAUUAUGACCCCCACAAAGCAGAAUAUCAUGGUUAUGUUGAUUUAGGUGAUGGGACAAAAUCAACAAAAGAAGAUAAAUCUUGUCCAGAAGCAACAAAGGCACUGUUUCUUAUGGCUACCUGUCUUAAUAGCAGCUGGUAAAUGCCAAUAGCCUAUUUUCUAGUUUCACAAAUGAAUUCAGAUAUCCUAGCUAUUUAGUGAGAGUUGCAUUGUUCAAUCUAAAUAAAACAGGAAUUAUCUGUAAGGCCAUAGUAUGUGAUGGUUGUGCUGUUAAUAAAAAAAUGAGCAAACUGCUUGGUGUUAGUAUGGAUCAGUGGCGUAGCUACGGGGGUCGUUUUCAGGUUUGGACCCCUCCCAGAGCAAAAUUUUUUUUUAGAUUUUACGUUCUAAAGACUUAAAAGUGACUAAUACCAUUAAUAUUUAUAUUUUUCUGGUUUUGAUGUUUGUGGAAGGAUAUUAUAUUACUAUUGAAAUUAUUCUGGAUAGUAUUAUUAUAAAGUCAUUGAGAAUAAUCGACUAAAUUAUAAUAACAUAUUAUUGAUGCAUUUAAAAAAUAUAUUUAUUAUAUAUUAUCGAAGAUAUGGUUAUGAUUUUGCAUUUUAUAUGUAUGGACCCCCUCUAAGAAAAAUUCCUAGCUAUGCCACUGGUAUGGAUCCUGAUAAUAUCAUUCCAUAUAUUGAGCUGGAAUUUUAUGAAUCGGAAAAAAUAUAUAUGUUACUAGAUGUUUGUCAUAUGCUCAAAUUACUUAGAAAUCUAUUAGCGGAGUAGGAAAUUUUAAUAAAUGAAUCAAAUGGAGAGAUAAUAGAUUGGAAGCCUAUACAAAAUUUACAUAAAUUGCAGGAGUGCGAAGGUUUACGUGCUGCAAAUAAAUUGCGCAAAGCACAUUGCUUUCCACAAACAAAAAAUGAAAGU